rnacentral:rRNA from 1 species
AACGAACGCUGGCGGCAUGCCUAACACAUGCAAGUCGAACGAUACCUUCGGGUCUAGUGGCGCACGGGUGCGUAACGCGUGGGAACCUGCCCUUAGGUUCGGAAUAACUCCCCGUAAGGGGUGCUAAUACCGGAUAAUGUCUUCGGACCAAAGAUUUAUCGCCUUUGGAUGGGCCCGAGUUGGAUUAGCUAGUUGGUAGGGUAAAAGCCUACCAAGGCGACGACCCAUAGCUGGUCUGAGAGGAUGAUCAGCCACACUGGGACUGAGACACGGCCCAGACUCCUACGGGAUGCAGCAGUGGGGAAUAUUGGACAAUGGGCUGAGGGCUGAUCCAGCAAUGCCGCGUGAGUGAUGAAGGCCUUAGGGUUGUAAAGCUCUUUUACCCGGGAUGAUAAUGACAGUACCGGGAGAAUAAGCUCCGGCUAACUCCGUG